rnacentral:lncRNA from 1 species
GUGUUUUUCAAAAUCCAGCAGUUCCCUGGAUGCUGUUGCUUCUUCCUGCUGAGUUCCCAGAGGAAGGAGCAACUCUGGCAUUGCCAGGCUGGUUUGCAAGUGAUCGUCACUUAUAUAGUGACACAAAUAUUUUAAUUCCUGCAUGCAAUUUGUGAAUGUUUUCUUUAUAUUUUCUUUGUAGGACGUGCAUCCAAACACCUUUCCUGUGCCAGCUUACCCAGUUAACCAGCACCCUCAGCAGGCUUUCCAGCAGCCCUACUACUCCCCAGCACAGUACCCAGUGCAGCAGCCACAGAGGGUGCCCAGCAGGUCACCGCCCCCGCAGCAGAAGCUCCUACCUCAGGGAGUGCCGGCUCAGCAGAAGUGUUUACCUCAGGGACAGUUCUUCCCUUCCCGGCCGGCGCCUCUGCCUCCCAAGUAGCUUCUGCCUCGGUGGGCCUGUGGGCUGAGCUGCUGCUGCUGCACAGCCGGAGCUGCAUUCCCCUCCUGGCACCCAGGGCAGUGCCAGCAGCCCCCUGCUGCAGAGAGACCCAAACCAGGAAUGCAGGACUGCACACUCACUAAAUACCUCGACCAAAGCUCCAGGGGCUGAGUCACCCAGCCCCUCCCUUGCUCUGUCCAAGCUUUGCUGCUGCGGCCAGGCUGGCAGCAGGAGUGCAGCAGCCUGCAGGGAAAUGGUCCUGAAAUGCAGCACGUGGGUUUGGGUUUCCCCAUUUCUGCCACGAGCUCUGGUAAGGAAAUUGUCUGAUUUGUUGUUGUCUCUCUGACUGUGCAGUGAGGAGUUGGAGUUUGCAAAUCAAGGAGAUCUAGUCAGAUUUUCAGUUACUCUGCAUGGACUGGAAAGUGUUUCCCAUGUACACCUUAAUGGCAUAAAUGGAAUGAGGUCUCAGAGGACUUUUUCAGGAAGAGAGAUAUAUUUUAAACAUGUUUAUGCAUGUAUAUAUGUUUAUAGAUGCAUAAUAAUGCACUUAAAUUCUUAACUCCAUGCUGACUGACACGAAGCUGUGCUGUAGGAGCACUGAGUCUAAUGCUUUUAAAUUAGAGAGUGGCUAAAUGAGACUCCUGUACUAAUCCCCACUAAUACAUGAUGGGCAGUGGAGGUAAAGGUACGAGAAGACACGGCCAUAUUCUGGUUUUAAAAAAGGGGGUGCUGUUAGGUUUUAAUUCAGGUCUAAAGACAGCAGCAGUCCCUGCAGAACACUGGGAAGUGUCUCUGCCUGGACCACCAGAGCUUCUCUGAGUACUGGGAACGGGAGCCUGGUGACUGAUGCACCCCUCUUUCAACACCCAAUCCCUUGUAGUGUCAGUCAGGAAGCUUCUGGGCUCCUGGGUGUCAGACUAGACUCCCUCUGCUCCUGCACCACGGGCUAGACUGGGGUUUGGAGCUCCUGAGCAGAGUGCUCAGCACCUACUGUGCUUGGAGAGGGAGCUGUAGAUCCUGGUCCUGUGGUGCCGUGGGUAGGAGCUGGAUGUCGUGGUCACAAAUGGGAAUCUAUUGCACAACUUGCUAAGAGUGAGGCUCUGUUGCACAAACUUGCUAAAAGAUAAUGCUGAAGAGUGUGCUGGGCUGUUGUACUCUGUGCUCGCCACAAGCACAGCUCAAUCUGUAAAAUCCCCUAAUAUUGCCAAAAAAUAAUCUUUUCCUCUGUAUAUACAUACAUAAAUAUAUAUAUAGUGUGUGCAGUAAUAAAAUACUUGAACUCCUGUGGUUUCCCAUAAAAUUAGAUUUAUAACACUAUUAAAAUCUGUAAAAUGUCACCUAGAAUUUCACCAACUGUACUCUAGGGGGUCUUCUUUUUGUUCCAAGAUAAUCAGUUCCUUCCUAAUUGCGUUGCUGUGCCCCGCUCUGCCCGAGCAGGCUGUUUGUCUGUCUGUCUGUCUGUCUGUCUGUGUGUCUGUCACAAGGAGCUCUGCAGCUGCCUGCAGCCCAGCCCCAGCCCUGCUCAGAGGGUGGGGAGAGGAGGGGAUCUGGGGGCCGGAGCCAUCCAGAGGGAUGUGCUGAGUGUGUGAGCUCAGCUGUGCUGAGCACGGUGCCUUUACAAGACAGAGAGAUUCUGUUCUCCCGGCCCCGCUGGCAUCGCUGCAGGUGCUGAGGGCAGGGAUGUGUGGUUCUGGAGCCAUCCCAAGGACAGGAAUAACUCUGGAUUUUGGUGUUGGGUACUGAGGAUGACUACUGGACUACUGCCUUUGUUUCAUGAAGUGUAUGAUGCCUGUCCCGGGCAGGGCUGGGGCUGCACAGCCACGUUCACCUCCACAGCCCCUGGCCAAAGGGCUGAUCCCAACCCCUCUGUACAGACCCAACGAGCAAUAAAGAUCCCACUUUUGUACAAGUGUCUGCCUCGGCCUGUGCUUGGGGGGAGGGAGGGGCAGUUACCUGUGGGGCUGUGUUGCUGUACAGGGCUGUGGAC